UCUGGAGACAGGUGGCUGCAUGGCUGUCGUCAGCUCGUGUCGUGAGAUGUUGGGUUAAGUCCCGCAACGAGCGCAACCCUUGCCUUUAGUUGCCAGCAGUUCGGCUGGGCACUCUAAAGGGACUGCCGGUGUUAAACCGGAGGAAGGUGGGGAUGACGUCAAGUCCUCAUGGCCUUUAUGACCAGGGCUACACACGUACUACAAUGGCCGAUACAAAGGGCAGCGACACUGCGAGGUGAAGCCAAUCCCGUAAAAUCGGUCUCAGUCCGGAUUGGAGUCUGCAACUCGACUCCAUGAAGUUGGAAUCGCUAGUAAUCGUGGAUCAGCAUGCCACGGUGAAUACGUUCCCGGGCCUU
rnacentral:rRNA from 1 species